rnacentral:rRNA from 1 species
UCGUAGUUGGAUUUCUGUUAAUAAUUUAAAUAUAAUAUUUCACAAUAUUUAUAUAAUAUUAACAUAAUUCAUAUUACUAUUUUAUUUUUAGUAUAUGAAAUUUUACUUUGAGAAAAUUAGAGUGCUUAAAGCAGGCAUUUGCCUUGAAUUCACCAGGAUGGAAUAAUAUAAAAGAUUUUUAUCUUUUUUAUUGGUUCUAAGAUAAAAAUAAUGAUUAAUAGGGACAGUUGGGGGCAUUUGUAUUUAACAGUCAGAGGUGAAAUUCUUAGAUUUGUUAAAGACAAACUAGUGCGAAAGCAUUUGCCAACCAUGUUUUCAUUAAUCAAGAACGAAAGUUAGGGGAUCGAAGACGAUCAGAUACCGUCGAAGUCUUAACCAUAAACUAUGCCA